GACGUAGGGCGCGAGCGUUGUCCGGAUUUAUUGGGCGUAAAGAGCUCGUAGGCGGCUUGUCGCGUCGUCCGUGAAAACCUGCAGCUCAACUGCAGGCUUGCGGUCGAUACGGGCAGGCUGGAGUUCGGUAGGGGAGACUGGAAUUCCUGGUGUAGCGGUGAAAUGCGCAGAUAUCAGGAGGAACACCGGUGGCGAAGGCGGUCUCUGGGCCGAUACUGACGCUGAGGAAGCGAAAGCGUGGGGAGCGAAC
rnacentral:rRNA from 1 species